rnacentral:lncRNA from 1 species
UCGCGCAGUCGGGGAGGGCCGGCCCAGGCUGCGGCGGCGGCGGCGAUGGUAGCGGGGCGCUGGGGCUGCGCGGCGUAGAGACGCCGGCCGUUCAGGGUCGCGAGCGCGCGUGGGCCGCGAUCGGGUGCUCCGAGCCGGGUCGAGCCGAGCCGGGCGCAGCCUCACAUUCCGCGGCGGCGGCGUUGUCAAACGCCCUCCUGAGGACAGCCACCCGGCCCGCCUCAGCGUCACCCGGCCGAGCGCUGUUCGCCAGCCCGCGCCAGCGAGUCCCGGACCUGGCCGCACGGGGCCUGCGGACUCGGGCCUUCCCUAAAGUUUCCCAUGACUCAAUGGACUCCUGAAUAUAACGAGCUCUACACCCUGAAAGUGGCUAUGAAGAGUGGGACUCCUCCUGAUGCGCCCA